rnacentral:rRNA from 1 species
AUUGAACGCUGGCGGCAUGCCUUACACAUGCAAGUCGAACGGCGGCACGGGAGCAAUCCUGGUGGCGAGUGGCGAACGGGUGAGUAAUAUAUCGGAACGUGCCCAGUCGUGGGGGAUAACGCAGCGAAAGCUGUGCUAAUACCGCAUACGAUCUAAGGAUGAAAGCGGGGGAUCGCAAGACCUCGCGCGAUUGGAGCGGCCGAUAUCAGAUUAGCUAGUUGGUGGGGUAAAGGCCCACCAAGGCGACGAUCUGUAGCUGGUCUGAGAGGACGACCAGCCACACUGGAACUGAGACACGGUCCAGACUCCUACGGGAGGCAGCAGUGGGGAAUUUUGGACAAUGGGCGCAAGCCUGAUCCAGCAAUGCCGCGUGCAGGAUGAAGGCCUUCGGGUUGUAAACUGCUUUUGUACGGAACGAAACGGCCCUUUCUAAUACAGGGGGCUAAUGACGGUACCGUAAGAAUAAGCACCGGCUAACUACGUGCCAGCAGCCGCAGUAACAC